rnacentral:rRNA from 1 species
CCUACGGGAGGCAGCAGUGAGGAAUCUUCCACAAUGGACGAAAGUCUGAUGGAGCAAUACCGCGUGCAGGAAGACGCUUUUCGGAGUGUAAACUGCUUUUGUCGUCGAAGAUUAUGACUGUAGACGAAGAAUAAGGACCGGCUAACUACGUGCCAGCAGCCGCGGUAAUACGUAGGGUCCAAGCGUUAUCCGGAAUUACUGGGCGUAAAGCGUACGCAGAUGGCGUAAUAGGUGAGUUGUGAAAUCUUGUGGCUCAACCAUAUAGACUAUGACUCAAACCAUUACACUAGAGGUUGGUAGAGGCAAGCGGAAUUCCCGGUGUAGCAGUGACAUGCGUAGAUAUCGGGAGGAACACCAAUGGCGAAGGCAGCUUGCUGGGCCACACCUGACGUUAAGGUACGAAAGCGUGGGGAGCGAACGGGAUUAGAUACCCCGGUAGUCCACGCCGUAAACGAUGGAUACUAGUGGUAUGGAGAUUCGACCCUCUGUGUCACGAAGCUAACGCGAUAAGUAUCCCGCCUGGGGAGUACGAACGCAAGUUUAAACNCAAAUGAAUUGACGGNUGAGAGNGCGAGCGACGACGAGGAGAG